GUUUAAAUAUUAUGUAGGCACAAAAUAUUGGAACAUUUUUUUAUAUAUGCACUAAAUUCACUUUGGUAAUUAUGAUUGUUGGAGUUUUUUAGCUGUGCCAUAUAAAAUGGAUAAAGUGGAAAAAUAUAUUUUAAUGUUUGGAGCAACACAGAACCUUCACCGUUAACAGAUUUAAUACAAAAUUAUGAUAGAUGUGAUGACCUAAAGUCGGACCUUACAUACAUUUAUAUAAACAAUGAUUAUAUGCAAUAGAUUUCGUCUUAGUGUGUUUAGUUGUGUUUUUUGAUAAAAUAAUUAUAAUUAACAUUUAACAAAAACAGAAACAGAAGCCAUUGAUAAUAUUUUCAAAUCUUCGGCUUGCAGUUAGCGUCGCUUUUUAGAAAGAUUCGAAACCAGCUUAAUUAAAAAAAAAUAUUAGAAAUUAAAUAAUAAGAGAAUUAGGAAUUUUAGUUUUAAAACUAAA